AGGGCUGACUGCCACGGAAGAAGGAUCUUUCUCUGGCAAUUGCUUCUCUUGGAGUUUUUCCUGCAAGCUUAGGAUACGGCUUCCAUGGAAAUCUUUCAGAGUAUUUACUUCCAGAGACACCUACAAAAUCAGCAGACUACUCUUCCAAAGGAGCAGUAAUCAUAGGAUAUUCUCUGAAGGAUUAAUCGGAUUUCAAGGAACAGAUAAUCCACCACGUGGCAACUUUUCUCCUCAGCAGUUUUUCCUACUUAAUUCUAAUGAUGAACAGGAACCAGUGAACAACCAUGACUGUCAUAUUGCAUCUUGUUUAUAAAGGCAUGACUGUAUUUCCGUAAACUACUACAUAUCAUACAAAUCACUGUGGUUUUCCUUUUCUGGCAAAAUGCCCAGUUACUAGGUUGAAACAAUAUUGAACUCCUGGUGUUGCACAUAGAAAACUGAAGCAAAGAUGGUCCAUCAGCAAACAAGUAACUGUUCAUUCUGACCAUUCCGAGAAGGACCUGGUUAGCAGCAAGUUAUUCCAGCAUGCCUUUGCGAUACUGAAAAUUACUUAAAUUGCAAAUGGUUUGGCGAGCUCUUUCCUUCAUCUAACUCUAUCGACUUUUGCCUUGAGAUCAGGGAGAAUAAUGACUAGAAAUCAGCUGUAGCCUUGAAACUUUAAUCUAAAUUUUUGCUUGGAAGUGAGUCUGAUACGAGCUAUCUUUCUUUGUAGCUGUGGGACAGCAUGGGAUUGUGGCAUUUGAAUUCCUUGUUUUUCAGCUCAUGGCAGUACAAUUUAUUUAUCAGCUUGAAGUAAAUGCCUUUCGUAUAGCUGCUUGCAUGUGGUCAUUAUGGAAAAUUGUAUACAGAUUCCCAGUUCAGUUUAAGUUACAGAUUAUAUGAAAACUCAAAAUCACAAUCAGUAUUCUGUUGCACAAAAGAGGGAACUUCACAAAAAAAGUUAAUUCUUUGGUCAAUAUCUUUAUGUCUGCACAGCAUCAGGCAAUCAACUCUCAAUAAACCGCAAUAAAUAACAAAUAAGCAUAAGGAAGUACAGCUGAAAUACUCUGAAGUAUUUAAGGCUUUAAAAAUUUAAGGCCAAGUAAUUACAGCCUUAUAGAUAUAUUUACUAUAGAGAAGUGUUUUCCUUGAGGGAAUUUGAGGUUAACCACAUGGCACACUGACCUAAUCUUCUUAACUACAAUGAGACACUACUGAUGAAGUAUGACAUUGCUACCUAUAUUUGCAGCACAAAACAACAGACAAAAUGGCUGUAUAGGUUAUUUGGUAGUCUUCAAAAAUAACCUUAGUUAUGCAAGGUAAUAUA